GACGUAGGGCGCGAGCGUUGUCCGGAUUUAUUGGGCGUAAAGAGCUCGUAGGCGGCUCGUUGCGUCAGUCGUGAAAGCCCGGAGCUCAACUCCGGGAUUGCCUUGGAUACGGGAUGACUUGAGGAUCGGAGAGGCAAGGGGAAUUCCACGUGUAGCGGUGAAAUGCGUAGAGAUGUGGAGGAACACCUGUGGCGAAGGCGCCUUGCUGGCCGAUUUCUGACGCUGAGGCGCGAAAGCGUGGGGAGCAAACAGG
rnacentral:rRNA from 1 species